UAUGGAGAGCCACAAAAAUGAGGACAGUUCACUUUGUAAAAAGUGUAAAGAGCCCCUAAAUUAGAAAUUUUAAAGAGAGUUUUAGUUAAGGUUGUUUGUGUUCUCAUAUCUCUUUUCCUAGUGUCAAGGAGUAUUUAUAGAGAGUGAGAGGUGGGCCCAAUCAUCGAGUAUAAGCCUUGUGAUAUUAUGGCAGGUGUCAAUCUAUGAUCAUGAAGGGGCCAAAUGAGGGAAUUGUUAGAUGCAACGGUUUGAUGAAUGUCUUCAUGAGGUCUUCCCAAUAUAUCUUCUACAGAUCGUGUGAACCUCGAGGAUAAAUGCUUGAACAAGGACUCAAGGUUUGAACCUAUAAAGUGAAGGAACCAGAGAGUUAUGUCGCCGUAGCUUAGGUGAGGGCAUGAAGAUGAGCUUUUGUAGCGAAAGUCCUUAUGGAUCAUUUCGAGGGAUCAAUUCAAUUUUAUUUAACACAUAACUACAUAUAAAUAUAUAUUAAAUACAUAUUGUCAAAAUUAAUAAGUGGUUAGAAGAAAUGAAAGUGGGUAUCUUCUUCAUCAGGG
rnacentral:lncRNA from 1 species